rnacentral:rRNA from 1 species
UACGUAGGGUGCGAGCGUUGUCCGGAAUUAUUGGGCGUAAAGAGCUUGUAGGCGGUUUGUCGCGUCUGCUGUGAAAAUCCGGGGCUCAACCCCGGACUUGCAGUGGGUACGGGCAGACUAGAGUGAUGUAGGGGAGACUGGAAUUCCUGGUGUAGCGGUGAAAUGCGUAGAGAUCGGGAAGAACACCAGUGGCGAAGGCGGCCGGCUGGGGGAGCCCUGACGCUGAGGCGCGAGAGCGUGGGGAGCAAACCGG